rnacentral:lncRNA from 1 species
CAAAAUAUCAGAAUUCAUCCUCUGAAUCCUUUAUCAGAACCACUUCCCACAGACUUGGUGUUACGGUAAACUGAGGAACAGAGAUACUGAUAUGGGAACACAGGAAGAUAUUCAUUUUAAGGGAAGGAACAGGAAGAGAAGAGUGUGGCCUCCUAGAAAUCUAGCACGGAGAAAGGUAAGUCUGAUUUGUCUUUUUUUGGUCUUGUUUUGUUUUUUUGCUGUCAUUGUAAUUUUUUUUUAUGCAUUCGACUAUUAUACGUUAUACUGUUAUAUUAUGUUGGCCAGACUGGUCUUGAACUCCUGACCUCGUGAUCCUCAGCCUCCCAAAGUGCUGGGAUUACAGGAGUGAACCACCAAGCCCGGCCUGACCUCUUGGCUUUUACCAAAGGAUGUUUGCUUCUGAGGAAGUUGGAAGCUGCAGCCACAAUGUGCCUUUGCAGGGGAGCCUGAGAGCCACAGGUAAGGACAACUGAGUUAGACAGGAGGGAUGAGGCCUAGGGGGAGGGCAGAGUGCAUCACAUUCCCCCACCCAGACCCACAGGCCACGGCAUCACAGCCCCAUGCAAGUCCCGACACCUGUCUCUCUGAUUGUGUGAUUCCCAGUUAUUCCCAUUCCCCUAACAGAUAAACCUCCCAAUGGGUUCAAUGCAUACACUUUUAUUAAAUCUCACUCUGUCACCCAGGCUGGAGGGCAGUGGUGUGAUCUCGGCUCACUGCAAGCUCCGCUUUACAGGUUCAGGCGAUUCUCUUCAGCCUCCUGAGUAGCUGGGACUACAGGCAUGCACCACCAGGCCUGGCUAAUUUUCUUGUAUUUUUAGCAGAAAUAGGGUUUCACCAUGUUGGUCAGGCUGAUCAUGAACUCCUGACCUCAAAUGACCCACCUGCCUCGGCCUCCCAAAGUGCUGGGAUCACCUGCCCACUCCCUUGGUGAGGAGCCCCCUAGGGCACCUCCACCUCCUGGAGCACAAAUGUUGUUGAGAUGAGCAGCUUGAGACAUGG